ACAAGUAUAGUUAGUUUUAACAUCGAAUUGCAGCCUCGAAGACGCGGAAACCCCGCUGCUUGUU
rnacentral:tRNA from 1 species